rnacentral:rRNA from 1 species
CUAUAAUGCAGUCGAGCGAACGGACGAGAGUGCUUGCACUCUCUGAUGUUAGCGGCGGACGGGUGAGUAACACGUGGGUAACCUACCUAUAAGACUGGGAUAACUUCGGGAAACCGGAGCUAAUACCGGAUAAUAUUUAGCUUCGCAUGAAGCAAUAGUGAAAGACGGUUCUGCUGUCACUUAUAGAUGGACCCGCGGUGUAUUAGCUAGUUGGUGAGGUAACGGCUCACCAAGGCAACGAUACAUAGCCGACCUGAGAGGGUGAUCGGCCACACUGGGACUGAGACACGGCCCAGACUCCUACGGGAGGCAGCAGUAGGGAAUCUUCCGCAAUGGACGAAAGUCUGACGGAGCAACGCCGCGUGAGUGAAGAAGGUUUUCGGAUCGUAAAACUCUGUUGUAAGGGAAGAACAAGUACGUUAGUAACUGAACGUACCUUGACGGUACCUUACCAGAAAGCCACGGCUAACUACGUGCCAGCAGCCGCGGUAAUACGUAGGUGGCAAGCGUUAUCCGGAAUUAUUGGGCGUAAAGCGCGCGUAGGCGGUCUCUUAAGUCUGAUGUGAAAGCCCCCGGCUCAACCGGGGAGGGUCAUUGGAAACUGGGAGACUUGAGUGCAGAAGAGGAGAGUGGAAUUCCAUGUGUAGCGGUGAAAUGCGCAGAGAUAUGGAGGAACACCAGUGGCGAAGGCGGCUCUCUGGUCUGUAACUGACGCUGAGGUGCAAAAGCGUGGGGAUCAAACAGGAUUAGAUACCCUGGUAGUCCACGCCGUAAACGAUGAGUGCUAAGUG